UGAAUACGAGAUGCUACGGCGUCGAAGCAGUCUAUGUCAUACUUCCAAGAAAAGCUUGCACUGUCAUAAACAAAUAAUGCCUGUACCAUAACCGACACAGGUGGGUAGGUAGAGUAUACUAAGGGGCGCGAGAUAACUCUCUCUAAGGAACUCGGCAAAAUGACUCCGUAACUUCGGGAGAAGGAGUGCCUUAUUUUAUAAGGUUGCAAUAACAAGAUCCAAGCAACUGUUUACCAAAAACACAGGUCUCCGCUAAGUCGUAAGACGAUGUAUGGGGGCUGACGCCUGCCCAGUGCCAGAAGGUUAAAGAAGUUGGUUAGCAUCCGCGAAGCUGAUAACUGAAGCCCUGGUGAACGGCGGCCGUAACAAUAACGGUCCUAAGGUAGCGAAAUUCCUUGUCGGGUAAGUUCCGACCCGCACGAAAGGCGUAAUGAUUUGGAUACUGUCUCAGAGAGGGGCUCGGUGAAAUAGACUUGUCUGUGAAGAUGCGGACUACCUGCACCAGGACAGAAAGACCCUAUGAAGCUUUACUGUAACUUGAAAUUGAAAUUGGACUUUACUUGCGCAGUAUAGGUGGGAGGCGUUGAGAAUAUUCUUGCGGGAAUGUUGGAGCCAUCAGUGAGAUACCACUCUUGUAAUGUUAGAUUUCUAACUUUGUAUCAUUAUCUGGUCAAAGGACAGUUUCAGGCGGGCAGUUUGACUGGGGCGGUCGCCUCCCAAACGGUAACGGAGGCGCACAAAGGUUUCCUCUGAACGGGUAGAAAUCGUAUCUAGAGUGUAAAGGCAUAAGGAAGCUUGACUGUGAGACCUACAAGUCGAGCAGGGACGAAAGUCGGUCUUAGUGAUCUGACGGUGCUGAGUGGAAAGGCCGUCACUCAACGGAUAAAAGUUACUCUAAGGAUAACAGGCUGAUCUCCCCCAAGAGUUCACAUCGACGGGGAGGUUUGGCACCUCGAUGUCGGCUCAUCGCAUCCUGGGGCGGUAGUACGUCCCAAGGGUUGGGCUGUUCGCCCAUGAAAGCGGUACGCGAGCUGGGUUCAGAACGUCGUGAGACAGUUCGGUCCAUAUCCGGUGUAGGCGUUAGAAUAUUGAGAGGAGCCUUCUUUAGUACGAGAGGACCGAGAAGGACAUACCUCUGGUGUACCAGUUAUCGUGCCAACGGUAAACGCUGGGUAGCUAUGUAUGGAGUGGAUAACCGCUGAAAGCAUCUAAGUGGGAAGCCCACCUCAAGAUAAGUAUUCUCA
rnacentral:rRNA from 1 species